rnacentral:lncRNA from 1 species
UGAUAAUGAAUUUUCUGUCUAGAACGCUUCAGAGAUAUUUGCUGGUCCCUGGCUCUCCAGCACUGGAAUUGCAGAGCUGUGCUGCCCUUCUUAGCUCUCCCCUUGGGAGAUGGCAGUUAGAGCUUAGGUUGUCCUGCUUGUGGAGCAAGUAUUUUACACACAGAGCUCUCUGCCCAGCCCCUUGACAUUGAUCCUUUAUACUUUUUGUUUGUUUAAUUCGUUUUUUGUUAGAUACGUCUUACUUUUUCAUUUGGGUAUUUUAUCAAAAAUGUGGCUCAGAUGCUGUGAUUUCAGGCUAGUAAGGAUCAUUAAGCAUCUUGGGAUUUGUCUAUAAAGAGUUUUAUUCUGAGGAUGAUUUCAAAAUAUAAGGACAAGGCAAGAAAGUUUCAUGCUGGCGGAACAGGCUGGGACACGGCAGAGAAGCAAGAAAACGUGUCAACUGAACCUCAUUGUGAUAGUAACAUCCAGGGCUAAGACAGGAGGUGGGAAAUGGACAGUUUAUGGUCAUAGGUAGAGAGCAGAACAUAAAAGAUGUAGAAACUGGGGAAAGAGGAGAAAUCAGUAACGACGUAUGAGAACCCAUGGGGUCACGUGACAGUAAGGGCAUCACACUCUCCAUAGGAAGGAGAAAGACAAAGAUGGCGAGCACGCCAUGUUAGAGAAGGAAAGCCAGGCCGGCUAAGAACAUCCUAACGCCCUGAUUGACAAGGAAGAGCAGAAAGCGCACCGCUCCUGAUCUGCAUCCAUUACAGAGCUCAGUCUGGUGUGAGCAUUCAUGCCUACAGCACUGCCCAGCGGCUUCCUGCUCUGCACCAGGCGCCUGCCCUCUGCUCACACUCCGGCACCUUCAUCGGUUCUCUGCCUGCAUAUCAAGCAUGAGGAGCUGGCUUCAAUGGCUCCAGAGAAUAAACUCAGGUUUAAUCAACUUGAUACCUGUUUUUAUUAUGGCAACCUGUAACCUAGAUGUGUCUAUAAAGCCACCCAUUUUAAAGGUGGAUUUGUCAUUGCUCUUGUCAAGUUAAUAAAAUUAACAAUUAAG